GGUGCCGAGGGUGCCCUGGAGAACAAAGCUGACACUGUCCCUGCCCCAGGGGCACUUACAGUUCACUGGUGGAGAAUAAAAGGCAGUGCAAAUAAACAGCAGCUAAAAGAAGACGAAUCCAUCAUGAAAGGUAGCAGGGACUUAAACUCCCAUUUGCACCAGGCCAAGCAAGUGAAUCACAGAGGGCGAUCCAUCAGAGGUGAUUCACCGAGAGCAGCUGAUUCUCUGAACGUGGACUCUGAAGCAGCUUCAGCUGCUGUGGGAGUGUGGUUCUUCUUGCUUCUUCUGUCUGCCCUCUGAUGGAGGAGGCUAAGAGGCUUCAGUAAGCUGAUGGGAAGGACUGGCAGUGGGAAAAACUGCUCUGGUGGGCAGUGCC